AAGUCGUAACAAGGUAACCGUAGGUGAACCUGCGGUUGGAUCAUUAUUGAAAUGAACAAGGGCAUGCCUCUCUUCUUCGGGAGGGUGGGCAUGUUCGAUGGCUUCGGCCAUUAACCCCUGUGAAACUGUUUAUUGACCUUUGGGUUUACCCUUUCUCUUGAGAGGGGGUAGCCCAAUCAAUAUCUUAAACCUAAUUUUGUGAGUCUUAUCUUGUUAUUAAAAGAAACAACUUUUGACAACGGAUCUCUAGGCUCUC
rnacentral:misc_RNA from 1 species